rnacentral:rRNA from 1 species
CCUACGGGAGGCAGCAGUGAGGAAUAUUGGUCAAUGGACGAGAGUCUGAACCAGCCAAGUAGCGUGAAGGAUGACUGCCCUAUGGGUUGUAAACUUCUUUUAUAAAGGAAUAAAACGAGGCACGUGUGCCUUUUUGCAUGUACUUUAUGAAUAAGGAUCGGCUAACUCCGUGCCAGCAGCCGCGGUAAUACGGAGGAUCCGAGCGUUAUCCGGAUUUAUUGGGUUUAAAGGGAGCGUAGGUGGAUUGUUAAGUCAGUUGGGAAAGUUUGGGGCUCAACCGUAAAAUUGCCGUUGAAACUGGUCUUCUUGAGUGGGCGAGAAGUAUGCGGAAUGCGUGGUGUAGCGGUGAAAUGCAUAGAUAUCACGCAGAACUCCGAUUGCGAAGGCAGCAUACCGGCGCUCAACUGACGCUGAGGCACGAAAGCGUGGGGAUCGAACAGGAUUAGAUACCCGAGUAGUC